rnacentral:rRNA from 1 species
AGAGUUUGAUCAUGGCUCAGAUUGAACGCUGGCGGCAUGCUUUACACAUGCAAGUCGAACGGUAACAGGGUGCUUGCACCGCUGACGAGUGGCGAACGGGUGAGUAACGCAUCGGAAUGUACCGUGUAAUGGGGGAUAGCUCGGCGAAAGCCGGAUUAAUACCGCAUACGCCCUGAGGGGGAAAGCGGGGGAUCGAAAGA